rnacentral:lncRNA from 1 species
CAUGAAAUCUAGGCAGCAAAUUUAUCAGUCCAGUGUUGAAAACACAACGAAUAUCCUCCUCAUCAAGUGGAAACGGCUCCCUAGGAGCACUCUCAUGAGAUGGAGGAGGAACCGUUCUGUUCUCAACAUAGAAAUCAGCAGAGUAUAUAUGAGAACCAUACUCAGAGUCAAAUGCAGAAGGAGAAUCAUAAUCAUAGACACAGG